rnacentral:RNase_P_RNA from 1 species
CGGCCCCAGCAGCCCGUCGCGGAGUCAGGGAGUGUACAACUCCUUGUCGAUGAGGAAAGUCCGGGCAACAUAGAGCGCCAUACUUCUUAACGGGAAGCUAUCGGUAACGGUAGAGUAGCGUGACAGAAAAUUACCGCCACCCCCAGUGGGUGGUAAGGGUGAAAAGGUGGGGUAAGAGCCCACCGGGCCGGAUGGCAACAUUCGGUGCCGCACGCCUUAUGGGUUGCAAGGUCAAGUAUACCGGCAUUUAAGGGUUGCUCGCCCAUUGCCGGGGGGUAGACUGCUCGAGCCCGGUGGCGACAUCGGGCGUAGAUAAAUGACGGGCCGGCGGCUGCGCGGUCGAUACGACAUCCGGCCGCCCGACAUAACCCGGCUUAUCGUCGAGGCCAUGAA